GACGAACGCUGGCGGCGUGCUUAACACAUGCAAGUCGAGCGGUAAGGCCCUUUCGGGGGUACACGAGCGGCGAACGGGUGAGUAACACGUGGGUGACCUGCCUUCAGCUCUGGGAUAAGCCUGGGAAACUGGGUCUAAUACCGGAUAUGACCUUCUGCCGCAUGGUGGGGGGUGGAAAGUCCUGGGCUUCAUUGUCUGGGUUCGGCUGGGGAUGGGCCCGCGGCCUAUCAGCUUGUUGGUGGGUAACGGCUCACCAAGGCUGCGAUGGGUAGCUGGUCUGAGAGGACGAUCAGCCACACUGGGACUGAGACACGGCCCAGACUCCUACGGGAGGCAGCAGUAGGGAAUCUUGCGCAAUGCGCGAAAGCGUGACGCAGCAACGCCGCGUGGGGGAAGAAGGCC
rnacentral:rRNA from 1 species